rnacentral:rRNA from 1 species
UACAGAGGUCUCAAGCGUUGUUCGGAUUCAUUGGGCGUAAAGGGUGCGUAGGUGGCGUGGUAAGUCGGGGUGUGAAAUUUCGGAGCUUAACUCCGAAACUGCAUUCGAUACUGCUGUGCUUGAGGACUGGAGAGGAGACUGGAAAUUUACGGUGUAGCAGUGAAAAUGCGUAGAGAUCGUAAGGAAGACCAGUGGCGAAGGCGGGUCUCUGGACAGUUCCUGACGUGAGGCACGAAGGUCAGGGGAGCAAAACGGGG